AGCGAACGCUGGCGGCAGGCUUAACUCAUGCAAGUCGAGCGGGCAUCCUUGUGGUGUCAGCGGCAGACGGGUGAGUAACGCGUGGGAACGUGCCCUUCGGUUCGGAAUAACUCAGGGAAACUUGAGCUAAUACCGGAUACGUGCGAGAGCAGAAAGGUUUAUCUGCCGAAGGAUCGGCCCGCGUCUGAUUAGCUAGUUGGUGAGGUUACGGCUCACCAAGGCGACGAUCAGUAGCUGGUCUGAGAGGAUGAUCAGCCACACUGGGACUGAGACACGGCCCAGACUCCUACGGGAGGCAGCAGUGGGGAAUAUUGGACAAUGGGGGCAACCCUGAUCCAGCCAUGCCGCGUGAGUGAUGACGGCCUUAGGGUUGUAAAGCUCUUUUCUCCGGGACGAUAAUGACGGUACCGGAGGAAUAAGCCCCGGCUAACUUCGUG
rnacentral:rRNA from 1 species